GAUGAAGAACGUAGCGAAAUGCGAUAAGUAAUGUGAAUUGCAGAAUUCAGUGAAUCAUCGAAUCUUUGAACGCACAUUGCGCCCUCUGGUAUUCCGGGGGGCAUGCCUGUUCGAGCGUCAUUAUAACCACUCAAGCUCUCGCUUGGUAUUGGGGUUCGCGGUUUCGCGGCCCCUAAAAUCAGUGGCGGUGCCUGUCGGCUCUACGCGUAGUAAUACUUCUCGCGAUUGAGUUCGAUAGGUCUACUUGCCAGUAACCCCCAAUUUUUACAGGUUGACCUCGGAUCAGGUAGGGAUACCCGCUGAACUUAAGCAUAUCAAUAAGGGAGGA
rnacentral:misc_RNA from 1 species